GUUCGAGAACCUCCAAUAAAAUUGAAACGAUAUGGAGAAGAUUAGCAUGACCCCCUAAUAAAGAUAACAAACACAAAUUAAAAAAUAAUCCAAAUCUUG